rnacentral:rRNA from 1 species
GACAGAGGUGCCAAGCGUUAGGCGGAAUCACUGGGCUUAAAGCGUGUGUAGGCGGACUCGUAAGUACCUUGUGAAAUCCCACGGCUCAACCGUGGAACUGCUUGGUAUACUGCUUGUCUUGAGCCACUUAGGGGCUGUCGGAACAAACGGUGGAGCGGUGAAAUGCGUAGAUAUCGUGAGGAAUACCAGUGGCGAAGGCGACUACCUGGCCUGUUCUUGACGCUGAGGCGCGAAAGCUAGGGGAGCAAACGGG